rnacentral:rRNA from 1 species
CAGCCCUUGACAUCCCGGUCGCGGACUCCAGAGACGGAGUUCUUUAGUUCGGCCGGACCGGAGACAGGUGCUGCAUGGCUGUCGUCAGCUCGUGUCGUGAGAUGUUGGGUUAAGUCCCGCAACGAGCGCAACCCCCGUCCUUAGUUGCUACCAUUUAGUUGAGCACUCUAAGGAGACUGCCGGUGAUAAGCCGCGAGGAAGGUGGGGAUGACGUCAAGUCCUCAUGGCCCUUACGGGCUGGGCUACACACGUGCUUCAAUGGCGGUGACAAUGGGAUGCGAAGAGGCAACUCCUAGCAAAUCUCAAAAAGCCGUCUCAGUUCGGAUUGGGCUCUGCAACUCGAGCCCAUGAAGUUGGAAUCGCUAGUAAUCGUGGAUCAGC